UACAUUCAAAUUGAUGUAGGUCUGAGUCGUGAUCAUUACGUUUGAUCUUCAUAGAGGAUCCAUUUAGCAAACUUUGCGAAGAAACCUACUUGAGGCCUUGAUGAGGAGUACAUUACAUUAAUACUGGAGGAUCUUCUCUCUAAGUUUCAUAUUAGAAAUAAGAAAAUAUUGACAAUGAAUGAAGAUUUAAAAUCGUAUAUUGAGUUUUAUCAUAGACUUGGUUUGCCACAUAAAGAAAUUGCCAUUUUAUUGAAAACAAAACAUAAUCAACAUUACAGUGUUGAGUAUCUAAAGAGGAAAGUUAUUCCCAAGUUACACUUAAACAACAGGAGAGGAUCUGCGCAACUUACAAAUUUUGAU